rnacentral:rRNA from 1 species
UGGGGAAUAUUGCACAAUGGAGGGAACUCUGAUGCAGCGACGCCGCGUGAGUGAUGAAGGAAUUCGUUUCGUAAAACUCUGUUCUAUGGGAAGAAAAGGACUGUACCAUAGGAGAAAGCUCCGGCUAAAUACGUGCCAGCAGCCGCGGUAAUACGUAUGGAGCGUGCGUUGUCCGGAAUUAUUGGGCGUAAAGGGUGCGCAGGCGGCUUUACAAGUUGGAUGUGAAAUAUUGUGGCUCAACCACAAACGUGCAUCCAAAACUGCAAAGCUUGAGUUAAGGAGAGGUAAGUGGAAUUCCUGGUGUAGCGGUGGAAUGCGUAGAUAUCAGGAGGAAUACCGGUGGCGAAGGCGACUUACUGGACUUAAACUGACGCUCAGGCACGAAAGCGUGGGGAGCAAACAGG